rnacentral:rRNA from 1 species
GAUGAACGCUGGCGGCGUGCCUAAUACAUGCAAGUCGAGCGAACAGACGAGGAGCUUGCUCCUCUGACGUUAGCGGCGGACGGGUGAGUAACACGUGGAUAACCUACCUAUAAGACUGGGAUAACUUCGGGAAACCGGAUCUAAUACCGGAUAAUAUAUUGAACCGCAUGGUUCAAUAGUGAAAGACGGUUUUGCUGUCACUUAUAGAUGGAUCCGCGCCGCAUUAGCUAGUUGGUAAGGUAACGGCUUACCAAGGCGACGAUGCGUAGCCGACCUGAGAGGGUGAUCGGCCACACUGGAACUGAGACACGGUCCAGACUCCUACGGGAGGCAGCAGUAGGGAAUAUUCGGCAAUGGGCGAAAGCCUGACGGAGCAACGCCGCGUGAGUGAUGAAGGUCUUCGGAUCGUAAAACUCUGUUAUUAGGGAAGAACAAAUGUGUAAGUAACUAUGCACGUCUUGACGGUACCUAAUCAGAAAGCCACGGCUAACUACGUG